AGGGAUUGACUAUGGAUCGGACUU
rnacentral:siRNA from 1 species